rnacentral:rRNA from 1 species
GACGAACGCUGGCGGCGUGCCUAAUACAUGCAAGUCGAACGAACAGAUGGGAGCUUGCUCCCUGAUGUUAGUGGCGGACGGGUGAGUAACACGUGGGUAACCUGCCUGUAAGAUUGGGAUAACUUCGGGAAACCGAAGCUAAUACCGGAUAAUAUAUGAAACCGCAUGGUUUCAUAUUGAAAGAUGGCUUUUGCUAUCACUUACAGAUGGACCCGCGGCGCAUUAGCUAGUUGGUGAGGUAACGCCUCACCAAGGCAACGAUGCGUAGCCGACCUGAGAGGGUGAUCGGCCACCCUGGGACUGAGACACGGCCCAGACUCCUACGGGAGGCAGCAGUAGGGAAUCCUCCGCAAUGGACGAAAGUCUGACGGAGCAACGCCGCGUGAGCGAAGAAGGCCUUCGGGUCGUAAAGCUCUGUUGUUAGGGAAGAACAAGUACCGUUCGAAUAGGGCGGUACCUUGACGGUACCUGACGAGAAAGCCACGGCUAACUACGUGCCAGCAGCCGCCGUAA